UGGGGAAUAUUGGACAAUGGGCGAAAGCCUGAUCCAGCAAUGCCGCGUGAGUGAUGAAGGCCUUAGGGUUGUAAAGCUCUUUUACCAGGGAUGAUAAUGACAGUACCUGGAGAAUAAGCUCCGGCUAACUCCGUGCCAGCAGCCGCGGUAAUACGGAGGGAGCUAGCGUUGUUCGGAAUUACUGGGCGUAAAGCGUACGUAGGCGGUUAUUCAAGUCAGAGGUGAAAGCCCGGGGCUCAACCCCGGAACUGCCUUUGAAACUAGAUAGCUAGAAUCUUGGAGAGGUCAGUGGAAUUCCGAGUGUAGAGGUGAAAUUCGUAGAUAUUCGGAAGAACACCAGUGGCGAAGGCGACUGACUGGACAAGUAUUGACGCUGAGGUACGAAAGCGUGGGGAGCAAACAGGAUUAGAUACCCAAGUAGUCCCUGAGCGGGCUGGCAAGGCGCAU
rnacentral:rRNA from 1 species